GAUUUAUGGGGUUAGUGGCGACGGGUGAGUAACACGUGGGCAAUCUGCCCUUCACUCUGGGACAAGCCCUGGAAACGGGGUCUAAUACCGGAUAACACUCUGUCCCGCAUGGGACGGGGUUAAAAGCUCCGGCGGUGAAGGAUGAGCCCGCGGCCUAUCAGCUUGUUGGUGGGGUAAUGGCCUACCAAGGCGACGACGGGUAGCCGGCCUGAGAGGGCGACCGGCCACACUGGGACUGAGACACGGCCCAGACUCCUACGGGAGGCAGCAGUGGGGAAUAUUGCACAAUGGGCGAAAGCCUGAUGCAGCGACGCCGCGUGAGGGAUGACGGCCUUCGGGUUGUAAACCUCUUUCAGCAGGGAAGAAGCGAAAGUGACGGUACCUGCAGAAGAAGCGCCGGCUAACUACGUGCCAGCAGCCGCGGUAAUACGUAGGGCGCAAGCGUUGUCCGGAAUUAUUGGGCGUAAAGAGCUCGUAGGCGGCUUGUCACGUCGGAUGUGAAAGCCCGGGGCUUAACCCCGGGUCUGCAUUCGAUACGGGCUAGCUAGAGUGUGGUAGGGGAGAUCGGAAUUCCUGGUGUAGCGGUGAAAUGCGCAGAUAUCAGGAGGAACACCGGUGGCGAAGGCGGAUCUCUGGGCCAUUACUGACGCUGAGGAGCGAAAGCGUGGGGAGCGAACAGGAUUAGAUACCCUGGUAGUCCACGCCGUAAACGUUGGGAACUAGGUGUUGGGCGACAUUCCACGUCGUCGGUGCCGCAGCUAACGCAUUAAGUUCCCCGCCUGGGGGAGUACGGCCGCAAGGCUAAAACUCAAAGGAAUUGACGGGGGCCCGCCACAAGCAGCGGAGCAUGU
rnacentral:rRNA from 1 species